GACGAACGCUGGCGGCGUGCUUAACACAUGCAAGUCGAACGAGUGGCGAACGGGUGAGUAAUACGUGGGAACCUGCCCUCCUUUUUGGGAUAAGCCUUGGAAACGGGGUCUAAUACCGAAUAUGUGAGGAUGGGCUCGCGGCCUAUCAGCUUGUUGGUGGGGUGAUGGCUCACCUAGGCGACGAUCCCUAGCUGGUCUGAGAGGAUGACCAGCCACACUGGAAAUGAGACACGGUCCAGACUCCUACGGGAGGCAUCAGUGGGGAAUAUUGCACAAUGGGCGCAAGCCUGAUGCAGCCAUGCCGCGUGUUGAGAAGGCCUUCUGGUUGUAAAGCACUUUCAGCGAGGAGGCGUUACUCGCAGAAGAAGCACCGGCUAACUCCGUGCCAGCAGCCGCGGUAAUAC
rnacentral:rRNA from 1 species